CUGUCAACAGAUAGAGAGAGAACACAACUGCCAGGGCUGUCUGCCUAUAGACAGCCCAUAAAUGACCUAAAGGAAAACAUUUUAAGGUGGGUACAGAGGAGAGAGAGGUCCUCACCCUCGACCAAUCAGGUUUCAGGAAUCUGAGACUUCUAGAUGACGUGUCCCCGUGGAAUCCGGCGCGCUCCGUGAUAACAAGGGACGCAUUCCCGGAGGAGACGGCAUUAUCUACUUACUCUGAUCCGAGCUCGGCCGAGUCUAACUCGUCUUGAUCCAUGAGAUCGCUGAGAUCUUCUCCAGUACGCUGAUCCCCAGCGCCUCCACAGACAGCUUGUCCAGAACCAGGACCCUGCACCUGCUCAGCAGAGCUGCGUUCACCUGGAACAAAGGGUUCUCCGUGGUCGCCCCCAUCAGAGUCCCUGUCCCACACUCCAUAUGAGGGAGGAAGGUAUCCUACAUACAGACAGAAAACAAGAGACGGAGAGAUUUAAAAAAAGAGAGAGACAUGGGAGGAAAAGAAGUGCUGAGCAUCCAAAAAGUGACUCAAUAUGAAGGCUCAGACAAGAGGCCCAGCAGCCAUGAGAGACAGGCACCAGAGGUCCCCCUGCAGAGGACAGAGAAUGCCCACCAUGGUUGGGUGUCUCCCCCAGCCAAGGUGGCCAAGCUGAAGGUGGGCCGUCAGUGCACUGACAGCCAGAACAACAUAGCCAAGCUGGCGUUCUUCUACUACCCGGAGAGAGUGGAGACCAUGCGCUGCUUCUGGGAGCUGAAGCACAUCCAGCUGGAGGGAGGUUUUGAGGAGACAGCCGUUACAGAAUUACCCACCAAACCAGGACCAAGCGGCGGAAGAGGAAGGAGCAGCAGGACUACUGCGUUAUGGACAAAUGGACAUGGGAACAGAUCCUGGACGGAGAGGGACCAUGGACUCAGGCUGGGGAUUAUCGCCUCCCGCAGUGGGAGAUUGAAGCGGCGAGAGCGGAGAGGCGAUACUACGAGGAGAGAGAGCGCAACGAGCGCGAGAGGCAGCCCCAAUAUUUUUUUGGGGGGGCACACGGGACAGUCGGUGGAGCUGAGGUCGGAACCAGAGCCAGUCGGGAUGACAUUGGAGGUGAGCGAGGGCUAUGAGACAGAGACUGUGACGGGGUUAAUGGGAAAAUUAGGAGA
rnacentral:lncRNA from 1 species